CGCAGAAUUACUAAUCUGCGACGCAAAUGACUCUUUAAGUCACCUGCGUCGCAGAUUAGUAAUUCUGCGACGCAGAGGAGGUAAAAAAAAUUCGGAAGUUUUUAAUUAUUCCUUCUCCCCUCUUUUUCUCUCUCUUCUUCUUUCCAGAACUCCAUUCAUGAGAUGUCAAUACCUCUCAAUCUUUCAUUCAUUUGAAAUCUCCUCUAACCACUAUACGUAUUUUGCCUUUAAUUUACCCGGAAAAAUCAAGAUUUGCGAAAACACGGCUCGAAGAGAAAAAUCCUAGAUUCCGCCGCGAAGAAGGAGACAUUUCAAAGCAGUGCAGCUCGAUUGCUAGCGAGUCUCCGAUCCAAUUCUGCGAAUUAGUUCGUCGGCGAUUUAGCCUAUUUCUAGGGUUUUUAAGGUUGGGUGAAACGCCAAACCGUUGGAGCUGGAUCUUCGGUUAACGUCGCCGCCGUCAUUGAUUACCUUAUUUCUUAGAUGGUGCCUGAUAUUGUAGAGGGUGAUGGGUUUGUUGGGAGGCAGCCUCAUAUCAAGUAUGAGCUCAGAGAUAGUCCUGGUCUUGGUGAGUAUUCAAUUUUUAAAAUCAAUAGUUCUUUGGAAGUUAAACUAUUUUCUUUCAUAUUUUUAGUUGUUUUGAUAUUUUUGUUGCUUACAUUGUGCUCACACAAAUUUAAACAUCAGUUUGAUGCUUGUUGUGUUGUUCUAAUAUGAUUUAGUGAAUG